CCUACGGGUGGCAGCAGUGAGGAAUAUUGGUCAAUGGGCGGGAGCCUGAACCAGCCAAGCCGCGUGAGGGAAGAAGGUACAGCGUAUCGUAAACCUCUUUUGUCGGGGAACAAAGGCGGGGACUAGUCCCCGGAUGAGGGUACCUGAAGAAAAAGCAUCGGCUAACUCCGUGCCAGCAGCCGCGGUAAUACGGAGGAUGCGAGCGUUAUCCGGAUUUAUUGGGGUAAAAGGGUGCGCAGGCGGCCUGUUAAGUCAGCGGGAAAAGCCCGGGGCUCAACCCCGGCGAGCCGUUGAAACUGGCGGGCUGGAGUGUGAGAGAGGUACGCGGAAUGCGCGGUGUAGCGGUGAAAUGCUUAGAUAUCGCGCAGAACCCCGAUUGCGAAGGCAGCGUACCGGCUCCACACUGACGCUGAGGCACGAAAGCGUGGGUAUCGAACAGGAUUAGAUACCCUUGUAGUC
rnacentral:rRNA from 1 species